GUGUCAGCCGCCGCGGUAAUACAGGGGGGGCGAGCGUUAUUCAUCGCGAUUGGGCGUAAAGGGUACGUAGGUGGUUUUUUUCAUUUUUUGUUAAAAACUCGAAGCUUUAAUCUUUGAGGCUGCAAAAAACAGGUUAAGAACUUGAGUCGAUUGUGCGCUGGUGAAAUUCUCGGUGGGUCGCAGAAAUGCUUGGAUACAAAGAGGAAUGCUGUAAUGUGAAAAUGGUUUGCGAAGAUCGACUGACGCUGAGGUUCGAAGGAGUGGGUAGGAAACGGGAUUAGAGAACCCUGUAGUCUACGCUGUAAACGAUGAGUGCUUAGGCUUAAAGCAAAAGCUUUUGGGCCGUAACUAACGUGCAAGCACUCCGCCUGGGGAGUA
rnacentral:rRNA from 1 species